GAUGAACGCUGGCGGCGUGCCUAAUACAUGCAAGUCGAGCGAACAGACGAGGAGCUUGCUCCUCUGACGUUAGCGGCGGACGGGUGAGUAACACGUGGAUAACCUACCUAUAAGACUGGGAUAACUUCGGGAAACAGGAUCUAAUAACGGAUAAUAUAUUGAACCGCAUGGUUCAAUAGUGAAAGACGGUUUUGCUGUCACUAAUAGCUGAAUACGCGCCGCAUUAGCUAGUUGGUAAGGUAACGGCUUACCAAGGCAACGAUGCGUAGCCGACCUGAGAGCGUGGUCCGCCACACUGGAACUGAGACACGGUCCAGACUCCUACGGUGGGCCGCAGUAGGGAAUCUUCCGCAAUGCGCGAAAGCCUGACGGAGCACCGCCGCGUGAGUGAUGAAGGUCUUCUGAUCGUAAAACUCUGUUAUUAGGGGAGAACAAAUGUGUAAUUAACUAUGCACGUCUUGACGGUACCUAGUCAGAAAGCCACGGCUAACUACGUG
rnacentral:rRNA from 1 species